AAAUACCUGCAGCUCAACUGUAGAACUGCCUUUGAUACUGCUAGUCUUGAGUCAUUAUUGAAGUGGUUAGGAAUGUGUAGUGUAGCGGUGGAAAUAGCAUAGAUAUUACACAGAAUACCGAUUGCGAAGGCAGAUCACUAAUAAUGUACUGACACUGAUGGACGAAAGCGUGGGGAGCGAACAGGAUUAGAUACCCUGGUAG
rnacentral:rRNA from 1 species